rnacentral:misc_RNA from 1 species
AACGCACCUUGCGCCCCUUGGCUAUUCCGAGGGGCAUGCCUGUUUGAGUAUCAUGAACACCUCAACUCUCAUGGUUUGCCAUGAUGAGCUUGGACUUUGGGGGUUUUGCUGGCCUGCGGUCAGCUCCUCUCAAACGGAUCAGCUUACCAGUAUUUGGUGGCAUCAUGGGUGUGAUAAUUAUCUACACUUGUGGUUGUCUGCUGAGUAACCUUUGGCGACAGGGGUUUGCUGGAGCUUAUAAAUGUCUCUCCCCAGCGAAGACAGCUUUUUGACCGUUCGAUCUCAAAUCAGGUAGGACUACCCGCUGAACUUAA